CGACGGCGAACACGGAACGGACCGGCUCCGAGAGUGGCAGCGCGAAUCGAUCAAGUGAUAACAAUACGUUGACGCGGUGGACAUUCAUCAGCUACAGAACGAGUGUCACGAGUGGGAUUGUUAGUCAUUUAAUUGAAUAUGACAGACACAGGACAGA